GACGGAGGAUGCAAGCGUUAUCCGGAAUUACUGGGCGUAAAGAGCUCGUAGGUGGUUUGUCGCGUUGUUCGUGAAAACUCACAACUCAAUUGUGGGCGUGCGGGCGAUACGGGCAGACUGGAGUACUGCAGGGGAGACUGGAAUUCCUGGUGUAGCGGUGGAAUGCGCAGAUAUCAGGAAGAACAUCGGUGGCGAAGGCGCUCUGCUGGACCAUAACUGACACUCAGGGACGAAAGCUAGGGGAGCGAAUGGG
rnacentral:rRNA from 1 species